GAAAGGUGAAAAGGACCCCGGGAGGGGAGUGAAAGAGAACCUGAAACCCCGUGUUUACAAGCUGUGGAACCGCAAGAAGAGAGCGGAACUGCGUACUUUUUGUAGAACGGUCCGGCGAGUCAUGAGAAGUGGCAAGGUUAAGAGUCAGAAGACGUGGAGCCGAAGGGAAACCGAGUCUGAAAAGGGCGACAAAGUCACUGUUCAUGGACCCGAAACCGGGUGAGCUAUCCAUGUCCAGGCUGAAGCUUCCGUAAGAGGGAGUGGAGGGCCGAACCCACAUCCGUUGAAAAGGGUGGGGAGGAGGUGUGGAUAGGGGAGAAAUUCCAAUCGAACUCGGAGAUAGCUGGUUCUCCUCGAAAUAGCUUUAGGGCUAGCCUCGUUAAAGAAUCCCACGGAGGUAGGGCGCUGAUUUUCCUAGGGGGCGUCAAAGCUUACCGAAGAAUAUCAAACUGUGAAUGCCGUGAGGAGGAUAAACGGGAGUCAGACUGUGCGAGAUAAGUUGGACAGUCAAAAGGGAAAGAGCCCAGACCUCCAGCUAAGGUCCCAAAGUGUGCAUUAAGUGGGAAAGGAUGUGGAACCUCGAAAACAGCUAGGACGUUGGCUUAGAAGCAGCCAUACGUUGAAAGAGUGCGUAAUAGCUCACUAGUCGAGAGGUUGUGCGCCGAAAAUGUCCGGGGCUAAAAUGCAGCACCGAAGCUGAGGAAUCCGACCUGAAAGGGACGGGUUGGUAGAGGAGCAUUGUAGGAAAGGAAGAAGCGAAGCUGAGAGGCUUGGUGGACAGACUACAAGAGAGAAUGCCGGAAUGAGUAGCGAGAGGAAGGUGAGAAUCCUUCCGGCCGAAUAUCUAAGGAUUCCAGGGUAAAGCUGAUCUGCCCUGGGUAAGUCGGGACCUAAGGCGAGGCCGAGAGGCGUAGUCGAUGGAGAACAGGUGGAGAGUCCUGUACUACAGAAUAGGUGAAAUGUGGGGACGCCAGGAGGAAGUGGGAGCCGGAGAAGGAAGAGCCGGUGCAAGCGCAGGACAGGACGGGGAGGAAAAACCCCCCGAAGAGAGAGGAGAGCGUGAAGCGGACCGAAAAGAAGUAGGGAAGCCCAUGGGUAACUGGCCAAGAAAAGCCGCUAAUAAGUAUUCUGUACCCGUACCGGAAACCGACACAGGUGGAAGGGGAGAGAAUCCCAAGGCCGACGAGAGAAGCGUCGUCAAGGAACUCGGCAAAAUGGCCCCGUAACUUCGGGAGAAGGGGCGCCGGAGAGAGACCGGCCGCAGAGAAAAGGCUCAAGCAACUGUUUAGCAAAAACACAGGUCUAUGCGAAACCGAAAGGUGAGGUAUAUGGGCUGACGCCUGCCCGGUGCUGGAAGGUUAAGGGGAGAGGUUAGGGAAACCGAAGCGUUGAACCGAAGCCCCAGUAAACGGCGGCCGUAACUAUAACGGUCCUAAGGUAGCGAAAUUCCUUGUCGGGUAAGUUCCGACCCGCACGAAAGGCGUAAUGAUUUGAGCACUGUCUCGACGACGCACUCGGUGAAAUUGAAGUGCCAGUGAAGAUGCUGGCUACCUGCGCCAGGACGGAAAGACCCCAUGGAGCUUUACUCCAGCUUGACGCUGGGACACGGUGAGUCAUGUACAGGAUAGGUGGGAGGCAAAGAAGGUAGGACGCAAGUCUUGCCAGAGCCGCUGUUGGGAUACCACCCUUGGCUUGCUGGGUUUCUAACCGACAUCCUUAAGCAGGAUGAGGGACAACGUCUGGCGGGGAGUUUGACUGGGGCGGUCGCCUCCGAAAGGGUAUCGGAGGCGCUCAAAGGUUCCCUCAGAAUGGACGGAAACCAUUCGAAGAGCGCAAAGGCACAAGGGAGCUUGACUGUGACACCGACGGGUGGAGCAGGUACGAAAGUAGGACUUAGUGAUCCGGUGGUAGAGAGUGGGAUUGCCAUCGCUCAACGGAUAAAAGCUACCCUGGGGAUAACAGGCUAAUCACUCCCAAGAGUUCACAUCGACGGAGUGGUUUGGCACCUCGAUGUCGGCUCAUCGCAUCCUGGGGCUGAAGCAGGUCCCAAGGGUUGGGCUGUUCGCCCAUUAAAGCGGUACGCGAGCUGGGUUCAGAACGUCGUGAGACAGUUCGGU
rnacentral:rRNA from 1 species